GUUCUCCACAGCUAAAGAACUGCUCUAGCUAAGCAAAUACUCAUAUCAUCAAUUACCAUUUUAAAAUAUCUCAGAAAACACUCUUUGAAGUAAUCCUUCCUCAAAUCCUAUUUGAAACUGGAUUCGUAUAAUGGGACACAAAUCAAAAUUACUCAGAAUUUGAAGAGCCAGGAAAAUAUCAGCUUGAGCGGGAAAAGGCAAUCAACAUAUGCCCUUUAUUGUGCAAAACUCGGGUAACAGGUAAACAAGAUUAACAGGGACUGCUAGGAUCAAGAAAUGGAAGAUGCCUCCUUACAUAUGUCUGAGAUGAAUCCACAAAGAUAUCAAUCAUUUUGUUACCUGGAGGCCAGGUGGUGAGAUUUGAAAUCAUCUUAUCUAAAUCCAGCACACAGUUUAUACCCACUGUACCAAUCAAAUUAUUCAAAGGUCCCUUCUGAUACAUUGCAAAAAUGGAUACAACUUUUCCCUCCUUUUAGCAUCUUUCCUUGUGUAAUGUGACUUUGAAGCUCUUACUAUUAUAUGAAGAAAUAAAAUCUAUGGUCUCUGGAUUGGUCUUGUGACUGCUUUGGCCAAUGGAAUACAACAACAAAACUGUUGAUGUGCACAUUCCAACUCUAGGCCUCAAGAGCCUUGCAGAAUUCCACCUGCUGUCCUGGGAUCUCCGCCUUCCCCAUAGAACCAAGCGUGGGCUAGUCUGCUGGAGGAUGAGAUCUCACAUAGUCCGUAAUCAAAUGGGUCUCCUUCCUACCCAGUAAUACUGCAGACAAAUGAGAGUUCCAGGAGAAGUCCCUCCCUGAACCCAGCGCCUAUGGCUGAUGCACAAAAUCAUUAACUAAAAAAUAGUGUUGUGUUAAGCCAGUAAAUUUUUGAUGAGUUUGCUAUGCUGUUAAAUGUUUGUUUUCAGCCACUGUAUUUUGUGUUAGUUAUAUAGUAUAAGGUAACUCAUAAUAAUUCACACAAUAAAUUCCAAAUAUUUUGACAUUAUAAUCAAGGCCUCUCUAGGCUUAUAUGUCCAGUCUCAAUCCUGGUACUUUUCCCUUUGAAAUACAUUCUCAAUUCAUAUAUUUCGCAUGUGUUCUUCAUGUGAUACUGUUUUCUGUGACCUGUAUUUCCAUAUUUUAUAUGUAUUGUGCUUUCUUACUACAAUACCCUCACCUAUCUCUUCUUGUGAACUCACACAUUUUCUCCAGACCUCGUUCUAAUAUUAUUGACUUCAUAAAGAUUUUUCCAACUCUUCCAAAAGAUGGAAAUCCUUGACUGUCUCUUUCCACAAUAAUUCUCAUGUGUCUUUCAUGUAUGGCAUUUAUCACAUGACACUGCGUGUUCUCUUGUCUCCAGCAACUAGCACAGUAGUAGAUAUAGCUUCAGUAGCUUCAACUACUAGUCACAACAAUCUGCUCUCUGCUCUCCAACCCCACCUCCACAGGAAGAACACACUUCCCCACUGUAGCCAGUACCACUGUGCCAGUUUCAACCUAGGUCUUAUGAAAUAUGGUGCUUCUUCUCACCCUUGUAGGUGCUUCCAAUCACCAUUAUUUGGUUCUUUCAGAAAAGCUCAUAUCAAAUAAAUCAAAGGGAAAAAGAGCUGCUAGAGCUUAUGUGCUAAGGUGUGAGCAGGAAAUUAAUAACAAGUGUCAUUGUUUCACUAUAUUGUAGAAACAACUAACUGAGAAAACAGUUAAACUGAUAUUUGAGGGACAAACAAACAUAACAGUCUGUGUGGUAUCUUAAGAUACUCUAAGGAGAAAGAAAUGGAAUCAAAACCUGGGACAUUUUGGUUGAAAAUAAAUUAGUUUUCUUAAAGCGUAUUAAAUAGUCUUUAUGUCCUCAAACGAACAGCCAAAAAUAAAUAUAUUUCACUUCUUUAAAUUUGAACUCAUUGUCAUCAGUCUUUGUCAGAGAUUUUGUCUUUGAGCACAUCUAGCUUGACUGAAAGUUAUGUGUCGUUAAAUUAUUUUUUACCAUAGUUUAAAUGGAUGCUAAGUACUCUCAAGUGUUAAGGUUAUAUCUCUGAUGGCAUACAGCCCAUAACAAUAUGAGAGAAUGAAAUAUAUUUUAAAAGGCAUGACAUUGCUUCUCCUUUUAUGGGAUGGAGUUGGCAUAUUAAAUGAAAAUACUGCUAUCCUACAGCAUUUUUUGUUAAACCUUUUUGAUGAAAAUAUUUUUCUUGGAGAAAGAAGAUAGUUAUGUUUUAGUGAAUUUCAGUAUGAGGAAGCAAAUUUUAAAUGUCCUACUAAAACAUCCUUUUAUAUAUUAACCCCAAUUUCUGAAGUAACAUAUGUUCAAGGUAAAAACAUUUUGAGAAUACUGAAAUGUAUAAACUAUAAGGUAAAAUCCCAUGAUUUGGUACCCUAGAGCAAGUACAAUUCACAUAUUGGUAUAUAAUCUUUCAGGUUUACUUUUCUAUGUGUAGAAUAUCCUAGGCUGGGCACGGUGGCUCACGCCUAUAAUCCCAGCACUUAGGGAAACUGAGGUGGGCAUAUCACCUGAGGUCAGGAGUUCAAGACCAGCCUGACGAACACGGUGAAACCCAGUCUCUACUAAAAAUACAAAAUCAGCCGGGCAUGGUGGUGCAUGUCUGCAAUCCCAGCUACCCAGGAGGCUGAGGCAGGAAAACAGCUUGAACCCGGGAGACAGAGGUUGCAGUGAGCUGAGAUUGUGCCACUGUACUCCAGCCUGGGCAACAAGAGCAAAACCUCAUUAAAAAAAAAAAACUAAAAAGAAAGAAAGAAAAGAAAAGAAAAAAGAAAAAGAAAAAAAAAUCCUUACUCUUCCAUAAUAUUAGAUUAGGGAUAGACAUGCUAGUACCUUUUGUUCUCCCUUAUAAGAGUAGGGAGUAUACAAUUAUUACCAAAAUAAAGUUCAAGUAUAAAAUGAUUGUAUUAGAUUUCUAAUGGAAAAAGUACAUAGUAUGCUUUGAUUUUAAUUCCAAAUAAACUCAAAGAGGGAAGAUGAUUUGCAUCUUUCUACAGAAAAUAUGUGUAAUACACAUAAUUCUGUGAUGCUGCUUUAUGACCUAUUAAUUUAAAAAUGUAAGCGUAAACAGUUGGCUUGUUUCAGAAAUACAAGUGAGAUUUUCCGUUAGCUCUUUCACUUUAUGAGUUGUGGUUUAAUAUGAUUACCGCACUGUAAACAUCUGAGCUUACAAGACAGGGAUGGAGUUGGCACAUUACAUGAAAAUGCUGCCAUCCUACAGCAUUUUUGUUAAACCUUUUUUGAUGAAAAUAUUUUCCUUGGAGAGAGGAGAUAGGUAUGCUUUAGUGAACUGCAGUAAUAAGGCAAAAAUUUUGAGUAUCUUUUUAUAUAUUCACAACUUAGAAUGCUCCAAGUGAAAUGUACAUUUUUUCAUGUAUGUCUAAGUUUAUAUGACAGCAGAAUUUCAGUACUUAGAUAUAUAUUUUUUCUAAGCCAUUCAAGGAAAAUAUGAAACUUAAUUUUUUUCCUUUGGCAAGUUAUCUGGUCUAUGCCAAAGGGCUUCCAACUGCAGAACCAUGACUUGUUAUUUGUUAUGCAAGACUAAAUGUGACUUCCUUGCUGCUUCUAAAUUUAUUCAGUCAAAGUUUCUUAUGAUCUACAUGAACCAUACAGAGAAGACAACCUACACUCAUUCAGGCAAUUCAUUCAAUUCAUCAAGAGAGAGAAAUAAGGAGAGUUAAAUAAAGACUCUUGUAUAAAUAAUAACUGCUAUCAUAAGUUAAUAGACUUUAAGCAAAAGUUAACAUUUUACUUAGAGAGUGAAAGAAAAUAGGCCAUAAGAUGGUCUGUGGAAGGUAAAAAUAAACCAAUUUUACCAACAGAACUAUGGAAUAUUGAUGUAUUCAUUGCUCUAAAUGUGUCAGUUAAUUCUCAGGAAGAAAGAACUAAGAAAAACUCAGGAAAACUAUUUAUAGCUCCAGAUACCUAUGUACCGAUGGAAGAAAAAUCUGAGUAAUAAAUCUAGUGAACAGGAACUUGAAAAGUGAACACAAUAAAAGUAUUUUGAAGGUAUUAAAUUAUUAUUAGGAGUCAGAAUGUAGGUGUUACUAACUCAUUAAAUCUUAAAAGUCUAUUAGGUAGGCAUACUAUAUAGUGGCAGUGUUUAGCUCUUUUGCACAAAAUCACACCGUUGGUAAGAGUCAAAGUCGGGAUUCAUAUCUAGGCCAGCUGGAGUCUGAGACUCUCAUCUCAAAAUUUCACUUUAGUACCUACUUAUCUAUUCAAGAAGGUAACUGAGAUCUCACAUGAACACUAGAAUAUCUGGGUAGUCCUGACCCAUGAAACAUACCAUCUUCACAGAUUCAUUCCAUUCAGUGGGUUCAAACAUCCAUUCUAUCUAUUUCAUUUUCAGAGGAAAACAUAUGCCAUCCAUGAAAGGUGUUAGUUAGAGAGAGGAACACACAGGCAUGCAGCGAUUUGCAAACAGCCUGUAAUUUAGAGACUGAAUUCUAGGUUUGAUAUUUACCCGGGCAGAUGAUUUUUUUAAUUUGAAAAAUGCCCAUCCUUGCCAUCUAAGCCACAAAGUAAGCUUAUAAUUAUGAAUGCUUUCAAUUUCAGAAGCUGACGAAAGAACUUAACGAGUAGAAUAUGAAAAUGAAAGCUUAUCAUGUGUUCAAAAGAAGCAAAUCUAAUUGAAACGAGGGGAGUUAGAAUUAUAUCUUCAAAAUAUGCAUGGGGAUACAGCAUAUGAGCAUAGCAGAGAAAUUUUUAUAAGAUAAAAUACAAAAUUUAGGAGAACUUUAUUUUUAGGAGAACUUUAAAAAUAUAUAUUUUUUAUCAUCCACAGCAAAUGUCAUCGUAAUGAAGAGAUCCCAUCCUUCAUGGUCACACUCACAGCAAUAUUUCAUCUACUCCUCUCUCCUUCAUCUGUUGUCUGUCUUUUCCAUGACUUUUCCUUCAACCUUCCUGUUUUUGAAUGUAUUUUGAUGUUAUCAUGUAGCAAAAUAGCUCUAUGUCUCCUUCACUCUAUAUAAAGCUCUUCAGUAAUGGGAAAUUUGUCAUGGUUAUCAUUAUGCUCUUAAUACUUAGCACAGUAUCUGGAGCUCAACAAACAUUUUUAAAGAGAUUGCCUUAUUGUAAGUAACAAUGGGUAUGUUGAUCUAUUAUAUGUUUUCUAGUGAUGAAAUCAUUUAAUUGCAGCUACCUAGAGUAUUAAGAGAACUCAUAUAAUUCAUUUGUGUGGAAAAUAUGCAAUGAUGAUAAUGAUGAUAUAUUUAAUUCUCAUAGUUUGAACAGUACAUCUCCAACUUCUGUGGAAAUAGAGCAUAAUGAAAGCAUAGACUC